CCCAGUAUUGCUGGGUGGAUUAGUGGCGAACGGGUGAGUAACACGUGAGUAACCUGCCCUUGACUCUGGGAUAAGCACUGGAAACGGUGUCUAAUACCGGAUAUUUCAGCUGGCCGCAUGGUCUGGUUGUGGAAAGAAUUUUGGUCAAGGAUGGACUCGCGGCCUAUCAGGUAGUUGGUGAGGUAAUGGCUCACCAAGCCUACGACGGGUAGCCGGCCUGAGAGGGUGACCGGCCACACUGGGACUGAGACACGGCCCAGACUCCUACGGGAGGCAGCAGUGGGGAAUAUUGCACAAUGGGCGAAAGCCUGAUGCAGCAACGCCGCGUGAGGGACGACGGCCUUCGGGUUGUAAACCUCUUUUAGUAGGGAAGAAGCGAAAGUGACGGUACCUGCAGAAAAAGCACCGGCUAACUACGUGCCAGCAGCCGCGGUAAUACGUAGGGUGCAAGCGUUGUCCGGAAUUAUUGGGCGUAAAGAGCUCGUAGGCGGUUUGUCGCGUCUGCUGUGAAAACUGGAGGCUCAACCUCCAGCCUGCAGUGGGUACGGGCAGACUAGAGUGCGGUAGGGGAGAUUGGAAAUUCCUGGUGUAGCGGUGGAAUGCGCCAGAUAUCAGGAGGAACACCGAUGGCGAAGGCAGAUCUCUGGGGCCGUAACUGACGCUGAGGGAGCGAAAGCAGGGGGGAGCGAACAGGGAUUAGAUACCCCUGGGUAGUCCAUGCCCGUAAACGUUGGGGAACUAGAUGUGGGGGGCCAUUCCACGGGUCUCCGUGGUCGCAGGCUAACGCAUUAAG
rnacentral:rRNA from 1 species